UACGGGGGGGGGCAAGCGUUGUUCGGAAUUACUGGGCGUAAAGGGCGCGUAGGCGGCCUACUAAGUCGGACGUGAGAUCCCCUCGGCUCAACCGGGGAACUGCGUCCGAUACUGGCAGGCUUGAAUUCGGGAGAGGGAUGCGGAAUUCCAGGUGUAGCGGUGAAAUGCGUAGAUAUCAGGAGGAACACCGGUGGCGAAGGCGGGUCUCUGGGCCGUAACUGACGCUGAGGAGCGAAAGCGUGGGGAGCGAACAGG
rnacentral:rRNA from 1 species